AAAAAACACCAAAAAU
rnacentral:sRNA from 1 species